CGAUAUCCAACAGCUGUUACUUGAAAAGGGAAGCAGGUGUUCAGCCUCCCCUUUGUCCUUCUGGUGAUGACCCAGAUGCAACUUGGAACGUCUCAAUGAAGGCUUGUAUAUCACCUUACUCAGUGAGGAUGCAUAAAGAAAGAUGGAGUGGACUCGUUCCCUGGCCACGGAGGCUUACAGCUCCUCCACCACGUCUUGAAGAAGUCGGUGUCACUCCCGAGCAAUUCCGUGAAGAUACGGAAACAUGGCGUCUUAGAGUGAUAGAAUACUGGAAACUGUUG